ACUUAAAUUGAAGAGUUUGAUCAUGGCUCAGAUUGAACGCUGGCGGCAGGCCUAACACAUGCAAGUCGAGCGGUAGCACAGAGAGCUUGCUCUCGGGUGACGAGCGGCGGACGGGUGAGUAAUGUCUGGGAAACUGCCUGAUGGAGGGGGAUAACUACUGGAAACGGUAGCUAAUACCGCAUAACGUCGCAAGACCAAAGUGGGGGACCUUCGGGCCUCAUGCCAUCAGAUGUGCCCAGAUGGGAUUAGCUAGUAGGUGGGGUAACGGCUCACCUAGGCGACGAUCCCU
rnacentral:rRNA from 1 species